CCUACGGGAGGCAGCAGUGGGGAAUAUUGGACAAUGGGGGCAACCCUGAUCCAGCCAUGCCGCGUGUGUGAAGAAGGCCCUCGGGUUGUAAAGCACUUUCAGUGAGGAAGAACGCCUGGUGGUUAAUACCCAUCAGGAAAGACAUCACUCACAGAAGAAGCACCGGCUAACUCCGUGCCAGCAGCCGCGGUAAUACGGAGGGUGCGAGCGUUAAUCGGAAUUACUGGGCGUAAAGCGCGCGUAGGUGGCUUGAUAAGCCGGUUGUGAAAGCCCCGGGCUCAACCUGGGAACGGCAUCCGGAACUGUCAAGCUAGAGUGCAGGAGAGGAAGGUAGAAUUCCCGGUGUAGCGGUGAAAUGCGUAGAGAUCGGGAGGAAUACCAGUGGCGAAGGCGGCCUUCUGGACUGACACUGACACUGAGGUGCGAAGGCGUGGGUAGCAAACAGGAUUAGAUACCCCUGUAGUC
rnacentral:rRNA from 1 species